rnacentral:rRNA from 1 species
AGUGAACGCUGGCGGUAGGCCUAACACAUGCAAGUCGAACGGCAGCACAGUAAGAGCUUGCUCUUACGGGUGGCGAGUGGCGGACGGGUGAGGAAUACAUCGGCAUCUACUUUUUCGUGGGGGAUAACGUAGGGAAACUUACGCUAAUACCGCAUACGACCUACGGGUGAAAGCAGGGGAUCUUCGGACCUUGCGCGAUUGAAUGAGCCGAUGUCGGAUUAGCUAGUUGGCGGGGUAAAGGCCCACCAAGGCGACGAUCCGUAGCUGGUCUGAGAGGAUGAUCAGCCACACUGGAACUGAGACACGGUCCAGACUCCUACGGGAGGCAGCAGUGGGGAAUAUUGGACAAUGGGCGCAAGCCUGAUCCAGCCAUACCGCGUGGGUGAAGAAGGCCUUCGGGUUGUAAAGCCCUUUUGUUGGGAAAGAAAAGCAGCAGGUUAAUACCCCGCUGUUCUGACGGUACCCGAAGAAUAAGCACCGGCUAACUUCGUG